GACGAACGCUGGCGGCGUGCUUAACACAUGCAAGUCGAACGGAAAGGCCCUGCUUGCAGGGUGCUCGAGUGGCGAACGGGUGAGUAACACGUGGGUGAUCUGCCCCUUACUUUGGGAUAAGCCUGGGAAACUGGGUCUAAUACUGGAUAGGACCAUGCUGUAGGUGGUGUGGUGGAAAGAUUAGUUUCGGUAAGGGAUGAGCUCGCGGCCUAUCAGCUUGUUGGUGGGGUAAUGGCCUACCAAGGCGUCGACGGGUAGCCGGCCUGAGAGGGUGGACGGCCACAUUGGGACUGAGAUACGGCCCAGACUCCUACGGGGGGCAGCAGUGGGGAAUAUUGCACAAUGGGCGCAAGCCUGAUGCAGCGACGCCGCGUGGGGGAUGACGGCCUUCGGGUUGUAAACUCCUUUCAGCCAUGACGAAGCCUUCGGGUGACGGUAGUGGUAGAAGAAGCACCGGCUAACUACGUG
rnacentral:rRNA from 1 species